rnacentral:rRNA from 1 species
ACAAAAGCUAGCCCAACUAACCCCAAACUUAAGUAUUACAGACACAUAAAAUAAAACAUUUAGUUAAACAAUNAAAAGUAUAGGAGAUAGAAAUUUUAUAUUGGAGCGAUAGAGAUAGUACCGUAAGGGAAUGAUGAAAGACAUCUUAACAGUAUUAAACAGCAAAGAUUACCCCUUCUACCUUUUGCAUAAUGAACUAGCCAGAAACAACUUAACAAAGAGAACUUAAGCUAAGCUCCCCGAAACCAGACGAGCUACCCAUAAACAAUCUAAAAGGAUCAACUCAUCUAUGUAGCAAAAUAGUGAGAAGAUUUGUGGGUAGAGGUGAAAAGCCUAACGAGCCUGGUGAUAGCUGGUUACCCACAAACAGAAUUUUAGUUCAACUUUAAAUUUACCUAAAAAAAANUAAAAUUUUAAUGUAAAUUUAAAAUAUAGUCUAAGAAGGUACAGCUUCUUAGAAUCAGGAUACAACCUUUAUUAGAGAGUAUAUACUAAUAUCACCAUAGUUGGCUUAAAAGCAGCCACCAAUUGAGAAAGCGUUCCAGCUCAACAAACAAUAUAACUUAAUCCCAACCAUACUACAUCAACUCCUAAUUAUACCCCCNUGGGUCAUUCUAUUUAAGUAUAGAAGCAAUAAUGCUAGUAUGAGUAACAAGAACCAUUUUCUCCCCGCAUAAGCUUAUAUCAGGAACGGAUAGACCACUGAUAGUUAACAAUCUGAUAAUAUCAACCCAAAAANUGAAAUACUUAUCCACCCCAUUGUUAACCCAACACAGGUAUGCAUUCAAGGAAAGAUUAAAAGGAGUAAAAGGAACUCGGCAAACACAAACCCCGCCUGUUUACCAAAAACAUCACCUCCAGCAUUUCUAGUAUUGGAGGCACUGCCUGCCCGGUGACACUUGUUUAACGGCCGCGGUAUCCUGACCGUGCAAAGGUAGCAUAAUCAUUUGUUCUCUAAAUAGGGACUUGUAUGAAUGGCCACACGAGGGUUUAACUGUCUCUUACUCCCAAUCAGUGAAAUUGACCUUCCCGUGAAGAGGCGGGAAUACCACAAUAAGACGAGAAGACCCUAUGGAGCUUUAAUUAACUAACCCAAACUUAUGGAUACUAGAUACCUACAAGGCAUAACAUAACACCAUUAUUAUGGGUUAGCAAUUUAGGUUGGGGUGACCUCGGAAUAUAAAAAAACUCCCGAGUGAUUAAAAUUUAGACCCACAAGUCAAAAUACAACAUCACUUAUUGAUCCAAUAAUUUUUGAUCAACGGAACAAGUUACCCUAGGGAUAACAGCGCAAUCCUAUUCAAGAGUCCAUAUCGACAAUAGGGUUUACGACCUCGAUGUUGGAUCAGGACAUCCUAAUGGUGCAGCAGCUAUUAAGGGUUCGUUUGUUCAACGAUUAAAGUCCUACGUGAUCUGAGUUCAGACCGGAGUAAUCCAGGUCGGUUUCUAUCUAUUAUACAACCUCCCCCAGUACGAAAGGACAAGGGAUGUAAGGCCUACCUCACAGAGGCGCCUUAAAACUAAUAGAUGAAGUCAACUCAAUCUAACCAGUUUAUCUCCUCAUAAGCCCGAGAAAAGGGGCUUU